AUUUUGCGUGAGGGAUAGCAGCGGAAAUCCUUUUUAUUUUUUCUUUAAAAAUAAAAAGAUUGCAGCGAAUAGCCCGACCGCCU
rnacentral:sRNA from 1 species